rnacentral:rRNA from 1 species
CUACUGGGGUAUCUAAUCCCGUUUGCUCCCCACGCUUUCGUUCCUCAGCGUCAGUACAAGCCCAGCGGCCUGUCUUCACCUUUGGCGUUCCGAUAGAUAUCUACGCAUUUCACCGCUCCACCUAUCGUUCCGACCGCCCCUACUUGACUCAAGACUUGCGGUUCGCGAAGCAGUUCCCCGGUUGAGCCGGGGGCUUUCACAACGCGCCUGCAAGCCCGCCUACGAACGCUUUAAGCCCAGUGAUUCCGAUUAACGCUUGCACCCUCUGUAUUACCGCGGCUGCUGGCAC